rnacentral:rRNA from 1 species
CCUUCGGGAGGCAGCAGUGGGGGAUAUUGCACAAUGGGGGGAACCCUGAUGCAGCGACGCCGCGUGGGUGAAGGAGCGUUUCGGCGCGUAAAGCCUCAUCGGCAGGGAAGAAGAUGACGGUACCUGGCCAAGAAGCCCCGGCUAACUACGUGCCAGCAGCCGCGGUAAUACGUAGGGGGCAAGCGUUAUCCGGAUUUACUGGGUGUAAAGGGGGCGCAGACGGCAAUGCAAGCCAGGAGUGAAAGCCCGGGGCCCAACCCCGGGACUGCUCUUGGAACUGCAUGGCUGGAGUGCAGGAGGGGCAGGCGGAAUGCCUAGUGUAGCGGUGAAAUGCGUAGAUAUUAGGAAGAACACCGGUGGCGAAGGCGGCCUGCUGGACUGUAACUGACGUUGAGGCCCGAAGGCGUGGGGAGCGAACAGGAUUAGAUACCCGAGUAGUC